rnacentral:misc_RNA from 1 species
CUAGCAGAUUGACAGUAAGGAAGCUUUGCUGUGGAUGGAAAUAACUGUUUUAGCAUCUUUGGAUAUUUACCAUGUAUGAACGCGCUUAUCUUAAGAAACGGAAAGAGAGGCAUCCAAAAUCUAAACAAGGUGAUGGAAGGAUGGAUUAUAUAGUACCAAACCAUAAUGGCAAUCACUAUGGCAACGGAGACUAUGCAAAUUCUGGAAUACCGUACGAGGAUCCAUGGACUUUGUCCGACCUGGAAUACUGUCCAUAUCUAUCCCCGAGUCAACGAUUGGCACUGAAGAUGAAGUUCUUCCCCAGUGUUGGGUAUUACGAGUACUACAAUCAACGAGCCUUCGUCUGGGAGGAUGGAUAUUAUGAACAACCAGACAGAACAUACUCCCCAUCUAGUCAGAGGAAAGAAGUCCAUUUUGAUCAUGAUGAUUCCAUCCACUUCCGGCGCCAUCAGAAUUCUCCCAGUCUCCCCCGGCGACGCCCUACAACCUGCCCGCCCAAUCAGCCACUUGAACACGGCGUGCCGCCGCCAUCACCAUUACCCUCGCCUAAAGGAAGAAAGAGCUUCUCGCCAUCUUUAUUGCGUAAGACCCUCUCGCCUCGCUCAAUACGUCGUAAGAAGCUGGAGAAUGUGCAGAGGGUGUGGCGUGGGGACGAGCGUUGUAAUGGAUGUGGCUUUCCCCUGAAUGACGAGCGUGUGUCGGUCAAGGGAGACGUCUAUCACAUCGCUUGUUUCAAGUGCUCAAGAUGUGACACGCCCCUUACUCUGAAGAGUUACAGGAAGCAGACGAUGGACAGUCAGCUGUUCUGUGAGGCACACUUACCCAACACACCAGGUCCAGGGCCCACACCAGAGCCAGAAGACAAAAAUGCAGACCUGUUUGAGAUGUUGGAACGCCUUCAGGGCAAGCGGAUUGACGACCAGAGGUGUGAUAUGUCAGCCUUCUUCAAGGGUCCUGAUUUUUUCGACACUCUCCUUAAAUACCAAAGUCGGCGCUACGAGGAUCAACGGUGCACGAUGCCGCUACCAAAACCCAUCCAGGCCCCACCUAUUGCACCUGCAAAGGAGGAAAAUGAGAGUAUCAAAGAGCUGCUGGCUAAGCCGGGCCCCUACCCCAUGGUGGUGCUUCCCCCUGAUGGGGGGUACUGGUUGGAGGGAGAGGCAGUCCAGUCCAUCCCCGUGGACAGUAGCGGCAACCUCGUCAUCCCAGAGUGCAACCCUCAGCUGUUCAGCCUUGACCUUGAUGAAACUGCUCUAGUUUACAGACAUCACUUCCUUGGGAAGGAGCACUUCAAUUAUUACACAGUAGAUGAGAAUGUCGGGCCGAUUGUCAUGUCUAUCAAGACAAGCCCCGAGACAGACAAUGAUAUCAGAGUCCUACUCAGAACACGGUUUAGUACGAAACAUGAAGUGGUGCCAUCCAGUAAGCUUGAAAAUCCCAAUCCAGCCAAACUAGCUAAGUGCUUAUGUGAAGACAUCACAACAGAUAGGUUUCAACCAGUGUUAUCAUUAAAGGGUUCCGAUCUAGUUGUGUCCUACGAUGAACAUGUGCUUACAAAUACCUUCAAGUUUGGUAUCAUAUACCAGAAGUUUGGACAGACUUUUGAAGAAGACCUGUUUGGUAAUGUCAGUCACAGUCCGGCAAUGGAGGAGUUCCUUCAGCUCAUCGGGAACACGGUGCAGUUGAAGGACUUUAAACGGUUCCGCGGUGGCCUGGACACACUACACGACCAGACGGGGCUGGAGUCUGUGUUUACACACUACCGUGAUAGUGAGAUCAUGUUUCACGUCUCUACCAUGCUUCCCCACACAGAGGGGGACCCACAACAGUUACAGCGUAAACGCCACAUAGGGAACGAUAUCGUCGCCAUCAUCUUCCAGGAGGAGAAUACACCGUUCAUUCCGAACAUGAUCGCCUCCCACUUCCUCCAUUCCUACAUCGUGGUGCAGCCUGUCAACCCCAACACCGACCACACGUCGUACAAGGUGUGUAUAACAUCAAGGAAAGAUGUGCCAAAGUUUAGCCCAGUUCUCCAGGAGCCUGCAGUAUUUAAAAAGGGACCAGAAUUCCGUGAAUUCCUCCUGACAAAGCUGAUCAAUGCAGAACUUGCUUGCUACAAAUCAGAACAGUUUGCUAAACUGGGGGAGAGGACACGAACGUCUCUUCUCGACUCUUUGCAGCAGGACCUUCACAAGAAGAAUAUUGAAUUAUUCGGGUUCUCUCUCCUUCCUGGAUCCAAACAAGAAGGAAGUCGUCUGUUUGACUCAGUCAAACGAGCAUUCAGUGGGAAGGGACGAAGCCAGUCCUUUGAAUCGAAUAUACCGGUCGGCAGUCGCAAAAGCAAUGGCAUUCCUACUUCUCUUCCCACAGUCGGGGAAGAUGAGAAGAAUUCACCAUCACCGGUGAAGAAGUCUCCCUCCACCCCUCGUAGUCUAGUCCGGCAGUUCUCCAGUAGUCUCGAGAAGAAAUCCAAAGAUAAGGGGUCUCGUCAGGACAGUCAGGGGUCUGUCAGCAUGUCCUCCUACAUCACCUGCAGCCCCCCUCCUUCCCCCCAGUCUAGUCCCAGCAGCAUCUCGUCAGCAACAAGAAUCAACCACAACAGUGUUCAGUUGUCUCCCUCCAACUCUGAAAGUAGCUUCAACAGCAUGGACGACUUCACGCCAACACACAACAACCACGACCACGAGGACUCCGACACAGGCAUGGUGAUGCUGUUUCCCGGCAAGCCGACCUGUUGAAAGCAGAGGUACAUAAACUACGCUGUGAGAAGUUAGAACUGCUCAGACAAAAUGUGACAAGUCAGCGGGAGAUCAAAAAGCUAAAAGAUCAAGAACUGAAGUUGGUGACCGAUCUUGCUCAAGUCACGCGUGAGUUACAGAGACGCAAGUUUCCCGUCAUCGAGAUUAGUCCAGAGGCUACAGUAUAAUGAUCU